CCCAGACUCCUACGGGAGGCAGCAGUGGGGAAUAUUGCACAAUGGGGGAAACCCUGAUGCAGCGACGCCGCGUGAGUGAAGAAGUAAUUCGUUAUGUAAAGCUCUCUCAGCAGGGAAGAAAAUGACGGUACCUGAGUAAGAAGCCCCGGCUAACUACGUGCCAGCAGCCGCGGUAAUACGUAGGGGGCAAGCGUUAUCCGGAUUUACUGGGUGUAAAGGGAGCGUAGACGGCAGUGCAAGUCUGGAGUGAAAGGCGGGGGCUCAACCCCCGGACUGCUCUUGGAACUGCGUGGCUGGAGUGCAGGAGGGGCAGGCGGAAUUCCUGGUGUAGCGGUGAAAUGCGUAGAUAUCAGGAGGAACACCGGUGGCGAAGGCGGCCUGCUGGACUGCAACUGACGUUGAGGCCCGAAAGCGUGGGGAGCAAACAGGAUUAGAUACCCGCGUA
rnacentral:rRNA from 1 species